GAGAGAGAGAGAGAGAGAGAGAGACCGAAAGUUCAAUGAUAGAAAACCAAAAAUUGUUAUAAGAAAUUCAGUUAUCAUGAAUGAUGGUGAGAAAUGAAAUCACCUUAAAUCUUAUCAUGAAAACAUAGAAAAAGUUUGGCAACAACAAACAUCUUAAUCAAAGAAAUUAAUAAAAGAAUAGUUAUCAUUAUCUUAUCCAUGAUUUCAAAAGAUAUCAGAACUUUCAUCAAGAAAUUGAGAGUUAAAUUCAGUCUCAGAACAUUUUGACUCUGUUACUUUUUUCUCACUGGUUGAUUGAAAGAAAACACAACACAAUUCAAUCAGAAUUUUCUCAGAUUAAUCUAUUAUUAUUAUCAGAAUUCAAUCAUGAUAAUACUAAUCAAGAAUCAUUAUUAAUAUGUAAUAAUGAUCGUCAUAAUCAAUGACCAAUAUCAUCUCAAUUUAUCAUCAUUUGUAACCCAUCUAUAAGAUAAGAAAAUCAAAUUCAUAAUCUAUUGGGAAUAAAGUUUAUCUAAUGAUUUUUUUUUCUGAUUCUUAUCAUGAGCACGAUGAUGAUAAUCUGUCAUUUGAACACAAAGAGUAAUAGUUAUUACUCUUUGCUUAAAAGUGUUGAAAACUGUGAUUAAAUUGAAUUAGCAAGUUUUCUUAUACUUUUCUUAAUUUCUGAACUGAAUUUAAUCAUUAAUUAGAACUGAGGUGAAAGUUAGUUAAAAGUAUUAGUAGAUUGAGUGAUUUAACUGUAAAUAUUUUCUGUUUUCAAAUGAGCAGUGAAAAGGUUUUGCUUUGUAUUCAAUUUUGCAAGACAGUGUAAGAAGAAGGAAGUGUAAGGAAAGUAGAAUCAACCAGCUGAUCAGAGUUUUAUUGGUACCCAUCAAGAUUAUUUACUCAUGGACUCGUUUAACUGGUAAAUUAACCUCUAAUCUCCCGAUGAAAGUUUCCUCAUCAAUCUUGGACUUUCUGGUUUGUGUAAUAAAGAUCAUCUUUCAACAAUAUACAUGUAUUCCAAAGCUCCAUCUAAGAAUGGAAUGAACUACUUAAGAGUUUUGCUGAAAAAAAUUUGUUUCUACUUGUUAACGAAAAACUUUCAUUAUUGUUCUGAAUUAAUUUGUCUAUUUCUUGUGACUUUUCGAGUGCUUAAUGAUUUGUAUUCAACCUUCUUGCCACGAUGGAUAGACCAAUAUGCCCAUAUGUCGUAAACAGAAGCGCAAGUUAUGUGCCGAAGAGAAUAACUAAAACUACUCUUUUAGACUAUAAGGGGAUACCUGAAUAUACAGAGUCUCCUGGGGCCUUGAAAUAUCGGAAGAAAACGUGCCUUCGAUCAUACAAACCAUCGGAUAAAGCACCAGAUCCAAAUGAUUAUCGGAAAGUUGGAUGUGAAUAUUUACUUAAAAUGCGAAAGUUUGGGGGAACGACUGAAAUAAACGGCGAAAGUUUUUUGGUCUUCAAAUACCCAGAAAUGCUUACAACCCUUGAAGCAACAGUAAAUGAUCUGGGCAUCACAGAAAUUGACGAGUUAAAACUUCCAAGACGCAGCAUGAAAGAUUUUAAGAGACCCGAAUACUUUCUCGAGAUCGAGAAAACUGAUGAGUUUGUUUACCAUAUGAAACGAGCAAAAUUUACUCCGUUACUCUUUUCCUGCGUUUAUUGCGAUUGGGACUCGACUGAUCUUUCGGAGGUGAAAAAACAUUUAUUUGGACGAAAAGUCGGAAAAAAGGAAAAAAGUUUCCUUGUGAUCGAUUGUAAAGAGAGAAUGGUAAAAGAUGGAAUCGAAUAUUCAUCUGAUGAAGUUCCAAUCGAUCAUCCACCACCUCGAAUGUUCCCAUGGGCAUUAAUUUCAUGCGUCAGACCAGAGAUGGUUCGUUAUAAAGGAAAAUUCGACUUAACAGAUGCAAUUAAAGCCCAAUGGAAUCUAUUAAUGCUCGACAAGAGACCCAAAUAUCAUCGCUUAGUCAAAUAACUUCUAUUGUAAUUACACUUACACUUAGAUACAUUUCCACCAUUUUCCGCAUAUCCAAUGAUCUUGGUCUUACAUUCAAUCAUAAAGAUGGACCGAGCAGUUAGACUAACCGACGAAUAUGAUGUUCCAGGUCUAGUUUUCUAACUGGUCCAUCUUCAGAUUUUACAAUUUGUAUAAAGAACAGAGAAACAAUACAUUUAAUAUAAUUAAUUGUGAUUAGAGUAAAACUGCAACACUUGUACCUAAUAAAUGAACAUUUUCAGCAUCACGAAGAGUUUCAGACAAAAUAUUUAACCCUCAAUACAGAGACGCAACAUAAUUGAAUAGACUAGAACAUAAUUUUGGUUACCUGGUUAUUCAUGAUCAGCGAUUUUUCAUUUAUUUUGUUGAAACUUUCUGGUUCUCAUAAUAAUUAUCUUGCGAGAAGAUGAUUCAGGGCUCCAUCUAAGAAUGAAAAAAGUUACCAAUGAAGUUUUGUUGGGAUAAAUUCUGAGAACUUGGACAACACCAAAUUGUAUUAGUUUCUUAUUUUCCAAGUCAAAUCUUCCGUUCCUUGAUUGUUUCGUUACAACUAAGUGUUCUUAAUCACGAUGGAUCCACCCAAAUGUUCAUCUGAAAUAAAAACAAGUAAAGGUUUGGUGCCUAAGAAGCUCGAACCAAAUUUCGUCAAUAUGGGGCUUACAAGGGGCAGUAUUCGAACUGUGCCUGAUUAUUCGCGAAUUCCUAAGAAAACUGCACGUAAGUACUUCCUCUUUAUGUCUAAGAUUCCACUAAGAACUGUUUGUUUUUCCGUUUACUUUUCUUUUUGUUAAUAGGUUUUCUACCAUUGGAACCAGACAGAUUUAUAUUGGAAAUUCAGUUUAAGAAUGUUAAUCUUUUCGAAUUUCUGAAGAUACCUGAUUACUCAGAAUCUCCUGGGGCCUUGAAAUAUCGGAAGAAAACGUGCCUUCGAUCAUACAAACAAUCGGAUAAAGCACCAGAUCCAAAUGAUUACCGAAAAGUUGGAUGUGAAUAUUUACUUAAAUUGCGAAGACUUGUAGGAAUGAAAACAAGAUAUGGUCAGCCUAUUGGGUUUUUUAUGUACCCAGAAAUGUUUCUAUCCAUUGAUGCAUUAGAAAAUGAAUUGGGUUAUACUCAAAGCCAAUUAGCAGGAGCCAAACGAUGUUUCAAGUCCGAUUCAUAUAAGUUAGAUUGCUAUCUCGAGAAUACUGAUGAGUUUGUUUACCAUAUGAAACGAGCAAAAUUUACUCCGUUACUCUUUUCCUGCGUUUAUUGCGAUUGGGACUCGACUGAUCUUUCGGAGGUGAAAAAACAUUUAUUUGGACUAAAAGUCGGAAAAAAGGAUAAAAGUUUCCUUGUGAUCGAUUGUAAAGAGAGAAUGGUAAAAGAUGGAAUCGAAUUUCCAUCUAAUGAAGUUCCAA